AAACAAGGAGGGAAUUUAAGCCUGCAAAGUGGAAAAAUGAGGCUUUGUCAUCUUCAGGAAACAGUAGUCCAUGGUGUAUCCUGAUAUCCAGAGCUUCUGUCCUCCCUUUGUAAAUAUUUGCCAAUUGGGUGGAGGGUGGAGGCCACCAUGGAGAAGAAAGGAGGGAGAGGGCAGGUGUCAGGGAGUGCAUAUUUAUGGUCAGACACCUGAUUACUUGGUAUAGAUUCUAGUCAACUCUCAUGCACCCAGGGCCUGCCAUGUGUAAAGCUCUGCACCACUGGAGAGCAUUGUUACUGUUUUCCUCAGCCUAGAGGUGAGGAAACUGAGGCUUAUAGUAGCUCAACAAUUUGCUCAAGGUCUCACAGCUAGUAAGUGGAGAAUCAGAAUUCAAGUCCAGAUACUUGGACUUGCAAGAGCCUACUCCCAUAACUGGGCUAGUUGUAGCACCUGGUGAUGAAGCUUCAAAUGCAUGAAGUGGUUUGUAGUUUCCUCAGCAGCUCCCAGGUUUGUUUUUAAGUCUUUACAGCAAAGCAGUGAGGUCUUAGCAGGGGGUGUGAUAUACCCAGAUAUGCAUACUAAAUGAAAUGAUGGAUCUGGAAACACUUAGUAAAUGGGAAAAUGCUCUACAAAUAGGACAUAAUUAUUGUCUCUAAUUUACAAGUGAGGAACAUCAAAUCAGAGAGGUUAAGUGGUAUGCCCAAGGACACAUGAGCAGCUAAUGGCAGAGUCAGGACGCCAACCCAGGUCUUAGGAAUUCAAGACCAGUGCUUUUUGUUUCCUUGACAAUAUCAAAGAAAGAUUGGUUUGGGUUUACCUGCUCCCCCCACAAAUGGUUGCCAAGUGAAAAUUAGGCAGAGACUCUAAAAAAGAGACUCUGCUAACUUCUUAUCCACCUUUUAUUGCUUUGGCUUUUCUCUCCCUUUUCAGACCUCCAUGACACAGAAAGUAAAGUUGUGGAUGGAGUUGGCAGGGGCUUCAACAUGGGACUGGGCAUGGCAGACCCUGCGAGAGGGGUCAUUGGUGUGACACCAUCUCCUAAUUGGAAGGAGAGAGAGUUCUGGGGAAGGUUGCAGGGGAGAAGGAUGGACAGAAAUGCACUGUGGAUGGGCCAGGGUGGAUUUUAUGGCCCCAUAAAACAGACCACAAAUUAUUUGAAAGCAUUGAGGUAAACUGGAAUCCAGGGUAUAUCCCUGGGGGGUUGUGUGUUCACAUGCAGUAUUUUUUAAUAAAUAAAUCAUAAAUAUUUUGUUUAAAGAUCUUAGGGUCAAUACUAGAAAGAUGAAAAGAAAAUAACCACUGAGCACCAGCUCUGUAGUGCAGAUUCAUAUAAAAUAUGAAUUGCCAAAAUUUUAUCUUAGAACUAUACAGAGGAAGUCAUUCUUUGUUGAUAACCAUAUCUUAUCUAUUUGUUUAUUUAUUCAUUUUCAAAGGGAUAAGAAAUCAACCUUUAUUUUACACAUUCAAGAUGCAGAAUCAAUGCUGGGAGCAUUUAUGUAUAUUUGCUCAUUUAUUCCUCACAAAACUUUGCAUAAGUAGCACUAUUAUGUGAAUUUUUAAGAUGAGGAAAUUGAGUCUCUGAGAGAUGAAGUAACUUGAUUUGAGUUUCCUAGACAGUAAGAGAUGGCAGCAAGAUAUACAUCAUUACGAGCUACAUUAUUUCUUCAACAACACACUGAGAAAAUCCAUUUUUGCUUUCUUUGUUCUUCAUCCUUUCUUUGAUCUCAGAUCUUCUAUCUGGGUUCUCUCCCUUCCUGUCUGUAAUACAUCUUUUAUAUGAGGAUUUGCAUGUGGGAAACUCCAUUUUUGUUGUCAUUGCUGUUGGCGACUAAUGUCUUUGUCUCUUUUAUUCUUGAAGUGUAUGAUUCUCAGAUGACAGUUACUUUCUUUCGGCGUGUUGGAGGUAUUUUACUGCCGUCUUUUGGAAUGUUCAUUGCUAAUGAGAAGUAAGCUGCCUAAAUGGUAAUCACAUAAAAGCAAUAUCUUUUCUCUCUGCUGCUUUAAAAUAUUGUCUUUGGUGUUCUGCGGCUUCACUGAACUGUGUCUGGAUGUGAAUUUCUUUUUAUUUAUUCUUUUGGGGAUUCUUGGAUGUGGGUACUGGUAUUUUUCAUCACUUUUAGAAAAUUUAUAACUGUAAUCUGUUUAAAUGGUCUCUCUUUCCUCCUUCUGGGACUCCAGACAGACAUAUUGUUAGGCUUUAUUUUUUUCAGUAAAUAUAUUUCUAAUUGACAUAUAGUAAUUGCACAUAUCUAUUGGGUACAGUAUGACAUUUCAAUACAUAUAAACAAUAUGUGAUGAUCAGAUCAGGGUAAUUGGCAUAUCGUUCACCUCAGACAUGCAUCAUUUCUUUUGGGGGAAACAUUCAAAUUCCUCUUAGCUAGCUAUUGAAAUAUUCACUUAGUUACUAAAACCUCCCAGUAGGCCCCGCCUCUUAGAGGUGCCACCACCUCCCAAAAGCACCACCCUGACAACCAAGCAUUUAACACAGAGGCCUUUUGGGGGACAUUUGGGGAUUGAAACUAUAGCACUAGCCAUUUGCAUGGACAGACUGUUUUUCGUAUCUCUUAAUCUCUUUCAUAUUUUUCUGUGUCUUUGUCUUUCUGUGAUGCAUUUCUAUUAACUUAUUUUGACCUAGCUUUUAAUUCACUGUUUCUUCCUCAUACUGUCUGAUAUGCUAGUAAGUCUAUUCAGAGUUUGUUUUUUCAAUCUUCUUUUUUAAAUUUCUAAAAAUUUCCUGUCCAUUUUUCAAAUCUUCCUGGCUAUUCCUCAUGAUUUUUUGUUUCCUGCACAUAUCUUCAAGUUUUUCUUUAAUUUCUCUAAACACAUUAGGGUCAUUUGGUUUGUUGGCACCUGGUUAUUCUUGAUGCGGAGUUAUCCCUAGCUCAACAAUGCUUUCAGAAACAUUGAUUUUUAAAAAUAUUUUAUACAAGACUCUGAGUGGGAUGGCCCAUCCAGAUACUUAUCUUUCUGUAACACUGGCAAUAGAAGUACAGCAUAUGUAUUUAAAACUGGAAAAAUUAUGAGAGGGAAAUGUAGCCAAAUGGAACCUGGCAUUUAGGAACCUAGAAUUGCUCAAACUGUGCUGAAUGCCCUGAAGAGUGCAUGGGUUUCUGAUGAGAAGCCACUCCUGGUGAGGCUUGCCCAGCCAGGGUGGAUUCUGCUCAGCACCCACCCCACCAGUACACGAUGCCAGAAGUGGCAUGGCCAAACAAGAGGAAGAGGAGGCCUGUUUAGAAGGAAGAGAAUUGUAUCUCUAAGGGAUGAGAGGUACCUUGGGAUAAGACUCAGUGGAUCUGUCCUUUGAUUGCUGAUUUAAACCCUGUCAAAGUCAGUAGCAUUUGACCUUGUUCUCUUGGAGUUCAGGGGACAUGAGUUCUUUCAUCCCAGUGGCCCUGGAGAAUAUUCAAGAAUGAAUAUGGAGGGAACCACAGAGUCCAAUCUGGCCUCAACCCUCUCCUUCUCCCCAUUUACCACAUCCAAUCAGCCACCAGUUCUUGAUUUUAACCUCUAGCUCUAGAAUCUAUUCGCCUGCACCCACCUAUAUGCUGUCUCUGCCCCAGUCCACAAUCCCACCAUCUUGGACUAGAAUAAUUCUCUCACUAGCACCAAUAUAUCCACUCCCAAUCUCUCCCCUCCCAAAUUCUCCACACAAAUAAUCAAGUCAUCUUUUAAUAAUACAAAUCAGAGAAAGUGUCUCCCAAUCUUUUAAGUUUUAACUUCAGUGGCUUCCAGUGGCUUUUUGGGAUUGAAGUUCCAAAUCCCUACCCACAGGGUCCUCUUCUGUUGCCUGGUCUCCUUCCACUCUCUUCCACGUUAGACUUGUUCUGUCUACCCUGGUUUCCUUCCAUUGGAAAAAAGCCCUUUCUACCUGAGGCUGUUUACACCUGCAGUUCCUUCUUCCCAACUGCUUCCCUUGCCUUACUUCUACUCACCUGUGGACCCAAUUUCAAUGUGCUCUCCCCUCUAUCGUCUUCCAUUAGUCUUGUUGCUCUGUGUUUCCUAGAGCAAGACCUUAUAUCUCUUCAUCAGAGAGAUUACCUCUGUUUUGAUCCCAUAAUUAUUUUUUGAAAUUUCUGUUCAUUUUCUGUCUUCCAUACUGGUAAGAAUGAGAUUCAUGUGCAUGCUGUUCAUCACUAUGUCCCCAGCACCAAGCCUGGCACGUGGGAGAUUGGUCAUCUAGAGAAUAAAUCUGGGAGUACGUAUGGCUUUGGCUUGCAUCCUUGCUCCUACUGAGUUCACCCAUGACCUCUUUGCCAAGUCCAGUGUUUCUUCUAAAUCUUAACAGCUGCAACACUUGAAACUGCUGUCAGUCCUUUGUUUCUUGAACCAUUCUCCACUGUUCCUCAUCUACCGACUUUUAAGAUGUUAUUUCCUUUCUCUUCUUCUCUCUGAGGACUGAUUCUCCUCAGAUGACUUUCUCUGAGUGUUACCUAAAUGUCAGUGUCUUACACAAUUCUAGCCUUUUCUUCCCCCAUCCCUGUACCCAUUCUGUAAGUAGCUGUAAUUACGUCUGUGGCAUCAACCAUCAUAUUUAAACUAGUGAAUGCCAGACCUAUGUGUCUAUCUUGGAUCCCUCACCUCCCCAGCAUCGCCUUCUCUCACACUGCCUCCUAAAUACCUUCAUCCGGAUGUUUCAUGGACAUCUCAAUCUUAACAUUUCCCAAGUGGAGCUAGUUUUCUUCCUUGCCAAACUGGUUCUUCCUGCAGUGUUUCCAAUCUGGCCAAGUAAUUUCACCAUCUACCUAACCUUUGAAGCCAGAAGCCAUAGAGCCCUCCUAGGCAUUUCUGCAAUCUCAGUGAUCCUUUUCACAAUCUGUCCUGAACUGGUCCCCAUUCCUCCUCUCUGCACUGCCUCCACCUUAAUGCAGCCCCUGCUAUUGUUUGUCUGGAUCGUCACAUCAGCCUCUUCCUGGAUUCCUUCUGUGCUCUUCCCCUUCCAGUCCAUUACUGGCACUAACGGCAGAGACCCUGUCCCAACAAACAAAGCUCAAUCAGGCCACUGUCCAGCUUCAUCCCCACCUUUGUCCUUAAAGCCCACACAAUAAAACCCAUUCUCCUUAGGAGGAGAAGCAAGAGCCUCCCAACUGACCCUAGCUUCCCUCUGACUUUUGCCUCCUUUGUACCAUUCAUACCUUCUGAGUAGGUCAGACCUUCUCAUCACAUGUUUAUGGCUUUCUCAAACAUUAGCAGGCCACAGAAUUAUGAGGAAGGCUUGUUAAAGCAUAACAUAUGGGAUCUUAUCUCCAGAGGACCCGACUCAGUGGAUCUAAGAUGAGGCCCAGGAUUUGAAUUGGUAACAAGUUCCCAGGGGCUGCUGCUACCACUUUUCUGGUGACCACUGUGAGAACUACUGGUGUAAACCAGUAACCAUUAUAAGCCCUGAGACGUAUCACCUUGGCUGAAAUCCUGCUUCUGCUACCACUUCCUGUAUCACUCAACCUCUUCAUACCUCAGUUUGCUUAUCCAUAAAAUGGGGCUAAUACUCAGAGCUGCCUCAUAGGUUUUGAAGGAGGAUUAAUUAUGUUAAUACUUGGAAAUCACUUAAAAUGUUGCUUGGUGCUUUGUAACCAGGAACUGUUAGCUGCCACUGUUGUUUAUUUACUUUUAUCAUUAUUUCUAUCCUUGGUUUAGAAGGUCUGUCUUCCUCACUCUCUUUUGCUUGCAAAUUUCUGCAAGAACACAUCUGUGUUCAGCGGGUCAUUGUGCUAGCAUUGUCCCAGCCUGGUCUCCCUGGUCCUUUGUACUCAAUGCAGAACAGUGUACGUCUGCAUAACAUUUGCCAUCUUGAACUUGUCUAUUUACCAAGGGGGUGUCUCACCCACUGCAUAUUCCUCAAGUCUUCAUUUUUAUUGAGCUAUAAUUGACAAGUGAAAUGGUAUCAAUUUAAAGUGUGCAACAUGAUGAUUCAAUACAUGCAUAUUUUAUGAAAGAAUUCCUACAAUCAAGUUAGUGAUCACAUCCACCACCUCAUCUAGUUACCAUGUUUCAUGUAUGGCAAGAACCUUGAAGAUACUCUCCUGAGCAGAUUUUAAGUAUACGUGCAGUAUGGUUAACCAUAGUUGUCGUGCUGUGUGUGAGGUCCCCAGAACUUAUUCAUCUUGUAACUGCAGUGCUCCGCCUUUUUUUUUUGGUGGGGUGCAGGGUGUGGUACUGGGGAUUGAACUCAGGGGCACUCAGUCACUGAGCCACAUCCCCAGCCCUAUUUUAUAUUUUAUUUAGAGACAGGAUCUCACCGAGUUGCUUAGCACCUCACUUUUGCUGAGGGUGGAUUUGAACUUGUGAUCCUCCUGCCUCAGCCUCCCGAGCCACUGGAAUUAUAGGUGUGCGCCACUGUGCCUGGCUGAUACUCCACCAUUUGACAACCUUCCCUCAGCUACCUGCCCCUCCCCCCAACCCCUGGCAAUCACCACUCUAUUCUUUGUUUCUAAGACUUCAGCUUUUUAUAUUUCACAUGUAAGAUGAGACCACACAGUGUUUGUCUUUCUCUGACUUAUUUUACUUGGCAUAAUGCCCUCAAGUUUCAGUCAUGUUGUUGCAAAUGGCAGUAUUUCCUUCUUUUUGUGGCUGAAUGAUAUUUCAUUAUAUAUCCAUUAUACACACAUAUUCCUUACUGCAGUAUAUACAGUAUAAUAUUAUGUGUGUGGGGGGGUGGGUAUUUCACAAUUUCUUUUUUUGUCCAUGUUUUCUAUUGGUGCUUUAUAGUUGUACACAAUGGUGGAUUUCAUGUCACAUAUUCCUACAUGCACACAAUAUAACAAUAUAAUUUGGCCAGUGUCACUCUUCUGCACUUCCCCCCUUCUCCCCUCCUUCUACCUCCUGGUCACUUCCUCUAGUCUACUGAUCUCCCUUUGAUCCUCAUGAGAUCCCCCCAAUCCCCAUCAUGUUUCUUUUCCUUCGUCCUCUUCCCCAUAUAAGAGAGAACCUAUGACCCUUGUUCUUCUGAGUUGACUUACUUCUCUUAAUAAAAUGUCUCUAGUUCUAUUUAUUUUACGGCAAAUGACAUAAUUUCAUUUUUGUGACUGAAUAAAACUCUGUGUGUGUGUGUGUGUGUGUGUGUGUGUGUGUAUAUAUAUCACAUUUUCCUUAUAGAUUCAUCUGUUGAUUGACACCUAGGCUGGUUCCAUAGUUUGGAUAUUGUGAGUUGUACUGUUAUAAACAUGGACAUGCAUGUAUCACUGUAGCAUGAUGACUUUAAUUCUUCAGGAUAAACACUGAGGAGAGGUAUAGUCGGGUCAUAUGAUGGUUCCAUGCCUAGUCUUUUGAGGAGCCUCCAUACUGAUUUCCUUUAAGGUCAUACUAAUUUACACUCCCACCUACAGUGUAGAAGUGUUCUUUUUUCUCCACAGCCUCUCCAGAAUUUAUUAUUGUUCAAAUUUCUUUUUUUGUUCAUUGUCCAAGGACAGUGGACUUCAGUCAUUACCAUGUCUUGGUUGUUUUGAGUAAUGCUGCAGUGACAUGGCAACACAAAAUGUCUUUGAGCUACUGAUGUUGUUUCCCUUGGGUAUAUGCCCAGAAGUAGUGGUAGUUCUAUUUUUAUUUUUUUUUAGGAACCUCCAGACUAUUUUCAAGGCUUCAUUUUUGAGUCCCUGGAGCCCAGCAAAGUGGUAUUGACAUAUGUUGUAGAAUAUAGUACUAUAUUGAAAAUAUGGUAAAAUGGGUCUGGAGAAGAAACUGAGCACCCAGGAAUGGUAGGGAGAAGAGACAGUGUGUGUGUGACAUGAAGUUUGUAUAUGUUGUAGUCAGAUCAGUGGGAUUGUGAUUCAGGCAUAUAGUCCAUGUCGUCAGGGACACCUGAAUACACAUCACUUAGGAAAUCUUAGCUGUAAGUAUCAAAAACCUCACUCAAUAGGUUUAAAUAAUGAUACUUAUGAGAAGUCAGGGUUGUCUAAUUCAGUAGUUCAGCAAUGCUAUCAAAGACCGGUUCUUUCUUUCUGCUCUGUCCUCAGGCUUCCCCUCGUAGUCAAAAUGUGGCUGCAGAAGUUCCAGACAGUAUAACAACCAGCAGAGACAGAGCCAGGAAAGCAUUUGCAGGAGCUCCCCCAGCAAGUCUCCUCUCAUAUCUCAUAAUGGGACAUCCCAACUUGUUCACUGGCAAGGGGCCUGCUUUUGUUUUGAAUGGAUGAGUCUUCUGAUCUGGGGAUAAGCUUACUACCCUGAGUGGUGAACAACAUUGGAGUCCUGCUAGAUGGGAGGAAGGGAUCAAUGGAUAUUGCUCAUCAGGCAGAGUGUCUACCUCAAAGCUGGAUGCAGACCACAGGCUGAAAGUUGAGUGCCAAAGUCUUUUCUAGCUGGAGACUCCAUAGUGAAUUUCUCAAAGUCAAAGCAAAGAACCUUUUCCUCUGUUCUACCAGCAGGUUGUGCUUUGACCACAGCUGCCCUUUGGGAGGCUGGCACAGAGCCACAGCUAGAUCUUCAGGCUGCUUGUCAAGGGUGGGGCAGCAGGACAUGCCACUCUUCCUCCAUGAGCCCAUCCAGGGCCUCCACUGGGCACUUGGCACUGCCACGUCUUCCUAAGGAGAGAGCUGGGGAAGGAACCCGAGGGAGCCAGACUCCAGAGCCCUGGGACCCAGACAGAGCUCCAGGAAGGUUCAGGCAAGUAUUCUGUCUCUUCUCCCCUCAGAUGUGUAGAUGGACAUGAGGU
rnacentral:lncRNA from 1 species